rnacentral:rRNA from 1 species
ACGCUCGACACCUACGGGAGGCAGCAGUCGGGAAUAUUGCGCAAUGGAGGAAACUCUGACGCAGUGACGCCGCGUAUAGGAAGAAGGUUUUCGGAUUGUAAACUAUUGUCGUUAGGGAAGAGAAAGGACAGUACCUAAGGAGGAAGCCUCCGGCUAACUACGUGCCACAGCCGCGGUAAUCUGAGCGGGCUGGCAAGGC